UACAGAGGUCUCAAGCGUUGUUCGGAUUCAUUGGGCGUAAAGGGUGCGUAGGUGGCACCAUAAGUCAGGUGUGAAUCUCGGGGCUCAACCCCGAAACUGCAUUUGAUACUGUGGUGCUCGAGUACUGGAGAGGAGAUUGGAAUUUACGGUGUAGCAGUGAAAUGCGUAGAUAUCGUAAGGAAGACCAGUGGCGAAGGCGAAUCUCUGGACAGUUACUGACACUGAGGCACGAAGGCCAGGGAGCAAACGGG
rnacentral:rRNA from 1 species